AUCUAAGUAGUUUAAAUUAAAAAUUUUAAUUUGUGGUAUUAAAGAUAUGAUAAUUUUCAUCUUAGAUU
rnacentral:tRNA from 1 species